UACGGGGGGGGCAAGCGUUGUUCGGCAUUACUGGGCGUAAAGGGCUCGUAGGCGGCCAACUAAGUCGGAUGUGAAAUCCCCAGGCUUAACCUGGGAACUGCAUCCGAUACUGGAUGGCUUGAAUCCGGGAGAGGGAUGCAGAAUUCCAGGUGUAGCGGUGAAAUGCGUAGAUAUCUGGAGGAAUACCGGUGGCGAAGGCGGCAUCCUGGACCGGCAUUGACGCUGAUGAGCGAAAGCUAGGGGAGCAAACGGG
rnacentral:rRNA from 1 species